UUUUUUUCCCCCCCCCCUCUUUUUCCCCCCCGAUCUCGUCCGAUCUCGGAAGCUAAGCAGGGUCGGGCCUGGUUAGUACUUGGAUGGGAGACCGCCUGGGAAUACCAGGUGCUGUAAGCU
rnacentral:rRNA from 1 species